rfam:Triticum urartu cultivar G1812 contig747632, whole genome shotgun sequence.
GUUCUACUCCCUCCGUUCGGAAUUACUUGUCUCAGAAAUGGAUGUAUCUAGAACUAAAAUACAUCUAAAUACAUCCAUUUCUGCGACAAAUAAUUCCGAACGAAAGAAAUAGUAU